AAGGCUUAUGGCCUCCAUCUUAGAACCUCCACUUUACUUUCGGUUUUGCGUGUAGCGAGUUGUGCCUCAUAGAAGAGGAGAAAAAUAUUCUUCGCUCAGAAGUUGGAGCAGAACCCUUUUCGGACCAUUGUGGACGUACCGCGUGCUUUGGACCGAAACGUUUUUUUGGAUUACAUUCGCUGGAUUAUAACAAACAGAAUGAGACCGCACUCGACGUGACUGAGCGACGUUUGGGGCUCAGCAGUCGUCAAAAAUGAUGAACGUAACACAAACCAGCGGAGUCGAGUGGCGCGCAUCGCCUUCGUCAGAUUUGCCUUCGUGCUCCUGCUCCUCCUCAUGAAGAAGGAGGUCACCAUCUGCGAGGCGGUGCAGCCAAGUCACACUCUGAAUCUAUUAAUCAGAGCUGCGUUGGAACAGACAACUGCGAGACGCCAUAAUUUCAUCUGUAAACUCAGACACAAUGAGCUGAUACAGAAAAGGCCAGUGAGGAGGAAAAACCAGAGCUACAUCCAAAACAUCUGUAUCACAGGCGUUUCCAACAAGUGAGUCCUGCUCAGGUCGUGCAGCCAGUCAAUAUUUAACCACGGAAGCAGGGUUGGAAGCGUUUACAGGAAGCCGAGCUGGUGUGGUCGUAUCGAUCCACAACAAGGGUUAGUUUGUUUUCGCUAAGCAAAUAUUUUUAGCCCCACGCUCUCGUAUGUGCUGUUUGUUUGUGAGCUGUCACGGCUGCUGUUCACCGCGUUUAUUGCUUUCUGGCAUUAUUUGAUUUCACUCAAGUUUUUUUUUUUACUUUAUCUUGCCUUCUGCGUCUGUUCCUCUUUUCUCAUUCCCGCCUCCCUCUGCAGGAUGAUGGAUGCUUCGAGUCAUGAGCUCUCCCCUGCCUCUCAUCCGCGCUGCUGUACAGCGUCUCAGCACCGUUUGCUCUGCUCCCUGUUGUUCUCCUUCAUUUUGUCUUCCUCCCUGCGUCUGCUUUGUUUCCUCUUUAUGCUUUUCCGUCACCGCUCCCUCGCACGCCUCCAGUGAUGGAUGCCGCAUCAUCAGAGUUAUCGCAGGGCUCUGAGGCCUGUGCUGCCAGAGGACCUGGAGGACAGCGGCCAAGCCAAACUUCCCAACGAGGCGCUCGUUAAACUCAUCAUGGGAAACUAAUGAGGAUGAAUUUGGAGGCUGAAUGUGCCUUUGCACCAGGGGAACGCGGGGCCUGCUCUGUCUUCAAUCCUUACAUUUAGGCCUGUUGUUCUGCGAAGUCUCAUCAGGCGUCUGUCCCAUCAGCUCCAUGUUUCUGCUGGACUAAAACACACGUGCAGCAGGAAGGAGCUGAUGGAGACUUAAAAGCUUCACCCUUCGCCGUCCAUGACUCGCAUACCUGAUCUUGUGUAGUGACCGCUAAACAACAACAUUUCCCAUGAGCUCCAAGCGUUUGCUGACUAAAAGUCAUGACUCAUGGCAGGAGCGAGUUCAGGAGCGAGUCAGCGGGUCACAGCGAGUUCAGGUCUGAAUGUGGCGGCUUUAAAAAGCAGACGUGUCGGUGCGGCUUCAUGCAGGAGCGACACGAUCCACAGCUUCAGUCAGGAACUGAAAUGGAACCAGCGCAGACGCGUUCUGCUGCUCCGUUUGUUUAUGCACCUGCAUCUUUAUUAGGGUUCAGUCAGAAAUGCAGCAAAAAGGAGGAAGCGCAGAGAUUCCAAAGCUCUUUACACCAGCUGAUACGUGCCUUUCUUCAUUACUUUGGCUAAUUUGGAUUCACAAUGGUGCAGGAACUAUCAGCCCAUCUGUGUCAUUUAAUUAUGGGCGUAUGAAAUGAGAGUUUUUCCUCCUGUUCUCCUUUAAUGUUUCCUGGAAUUGAUAAGAGAGGGAACUCAUCACAUUACAUUUCAGAGCUGUGAUCCUCAUUUGUUGCGGCUCACUCACGCUAAUGGGCCUCAUCAGCGUCGCAGGCAGAUACUCGACUAUUAGCCGAGAAGAAAAAGAAGUCAUAAUGGGAAACACGGGCGCGGGGGGAGGAGGGAAUGUCACGUUUCCUCCCGCUGCUCUGUUGGGAUUGAUGAGUGUCUUAUGGCUGCACAUGAUCCCAGCUCCGGCUGUAGAUCUGGGCUAACCAGUACUGACGGGGAUGAGUCCACAGAACUGACUGAGUCUCUGUCCCAUCGGUGCGUCUCCUUCACGUCAUGGACGACUCAGACACUGUGUGAAACCUAAACCCGCUCGGUGGGUUGUUUUGGACCGCGCUGUUUGUCUCAGCUGGUGCUUUUUCAGCAGCGAUAACGAGGAGACGCAUGUCCUUUCAGCCACAUGCACAGACACUGGUGGCGCUCAGCGUUCAGCAGACGAGACCGCUGCCCCGGAAAAACAAACGCAGACCGUGGAUGAACGUCUGGGACGAGCCCCGAAUCCCUGACUUCUGCUUGUUGAACACUGGACCACGCCAGCGGCUGCGACGGCCCGAGGCGGCGCUCGGUACUAACAUCUGCAGGCACGCGGCCCAUCGAUGCCAUAUGUUCUGUAAGCAGAGUCGGAAAAAAGAAGACUGCUGUAAAACUAAGUGGAAGCAAAUUAGCACAAAUUAACAACAGGACAUUGAUUUUUAGCUCUUAAAGGUUAAUGUGGUUUGUGACUCUUAGUCUGACAGACUGUCCAGGGAGAGAGAGAGAGAGAGCGAGCGAGCGUCAGACAAAGGGAAACAGGCGCAAAGCAGGAGGAGGAGAAAGUCCCAGUGUAGUAACACAUGCUGGAGCCAGUGGGAGAGACGUACCAACUUAUCUAAUUAUAGUCCUAGUAAUGAAACACCACGAGACGCACGCUUUAUUCAGGGAGACACAGAUUCCUGGUUUUCCCUGUGUCACAUAUUUAUUGAGCACUUUUUACUUCAGUUGCUCAGUUCUGGAUCUCUGUUUCCUGGGUUUCCUCUUCAUUUGUUUUGUUCCUGUGCAGGACUAGGUCGGACUCCUGCUGUGAUCUGUAGCCGCUCCACGAUCAGCUGGAUCGGACUCUGAUGGUCCGGAUCAGGUUCUGCCUCACACAGGCAGACGCUGCUGAGUCGCAGUAGGUCUGGUUUGAGUCUGCGUCCAACGAAGGCGCCGUUUACCUUCACAGCUCAGCACAACUUUUGCUCCUGAGACGUUAGACUGACCGUGAUGGAGGAAAUAAAAUCUCCCAUCAUCGGUUUUGUUCUUUAAUGAAUCAUUACUUGACGGGAUCCAAAUUACGAUUCCCAGUCAAUACUCUUCUCUUUCACAAUUAAUAGUUCUUGUUUCUCUGUGGUUAAUAAGCAGCCAGAUCUAAAACGUCCAGCUUCAAACAGCAGUGGCUGAAUAUUACAGGUCACUAAGUCCCACUUUCCAGCAUCAAACCCGUGAAGUGCCUUCCACUCGCCUGACACCGGAUCAGUUCCAGGAGUCCAACCUGCCUCGUGCCGCAGCGUUGAUUUGAUGACGGUGCUGCGACGGUCCGGUUCUUUAUUUUCUCCUGGAGCCACUUAGGGGUGAGUGACAGCCGCGAUGCUGCUGGCGCAGCUCUCCCGCUGGUUCCCUAAAUUAAAGUGAGGUGAUACAUACUGUACGGCUGCACGUCGCGGUCGCUGCCGCCGCCUCCAGGGGAAGAGGAAUAGAGGUUUCACUACAGCCGGCUAAAGAAGACCAUGUAAUAUCGGCUUGAAAUACUCACUUCUCAUCAGAUUAAAUCUCUCGUCUAUUUGGAGGAAGCUGUUUCCUCCUUAACUGCAGCUCUGAAACCGAACCCCAGCAGCUGAAGACAGCUGAGGACAGUGAUGAAGUGAAGCCGCCGGCUUCAUAUCGUGACCAUCAUGAACAAAUGGUGGGUUCCUGCUGCCUGAGACCUGAAGGAACCCCCUGAAGGUAACGGCCUAGACUCCAUGUGUUGAUCUCCAGUGUGUGUUUGUCGCAUGUUUAAACUGUACGUGUGGCCUUUUUACCACAGGACUGGAAGUAAUGUUGUUCAUAGAGAAAAGACUACUCCUAAACCUGCUGGAUUUAUGCAUAUGCAACUCAUCUGCCUCUGAGUCUGCAGGCACAGGAUAAAAGCCCGGUUUAAAACAGCAGCUCAGUGUUUGCAUUUGGAGCGAACCUGAAGCUGGGCUGUUUUUUCUCACUGACUAUUUUUGAAGACUCAUCAUGUAACAGGCCCCGGCACAUUAACAGCCUGACCUUCGCUUCGGCGGGUAAUGAGAGUGAAAACCAAGCAAACAGCUUUCAGCUCCUUCCUCCUCCCAGUGAGACUCGUCUCCGCUCGGGCAGGAGGUGGAGGAGAAACGAUGGGGAAGCUGCUAACUGCUCAUUAUGGAGGAAGCCAGAAGGAACAGAUUUAGGAAGAGACAGGCCGAGUCCCCGUUCUCCUCUCGUCCCUGCGCUCCUCCUCCCGCUUAGCCAAGAUUUUACAAAGAUGAGAUCUGUAAAAGUGGGGGAAUCAUAUUAAGCUUUCCUCUGGGGUUGUGUUGAGCUGCCUGGGCUUCAGCGAGGUGAGCCGGCAGGACGGCGCUCGCCUGGGGGCUUCAACCUGCACCGAGGGCCGUGUGUCCGACAGAGAGGCGGCGUGUGUUUACUGGUUAGAGCUGUGGCAGCGUCGGGGACGGGGGUUUAGGCCCAGGGUCUCUGCUCCCUCCACAACACGUAGGAAGCUCUGAUAGAUGAGGUCACUGAUGGUGGUGUUUCCGGGCAUUUUGCCCAGUGCAUGCUGGGAUAUGCUGGGUUAAGAACAACACCUAAUUCUGCAGUUUGUUUCCAAUAAGCACAGCAGCAGUAAUAAUGCUGACGCAGCCAGUUCGCUGAGAUGAAGUCAGGAUGGGACAUAAUGCAGCGCGUCACAGCUUCACCCGUCUUUAAAUGAUAAAUGAGUGAAUCAAAACAGGAAAGCAAAGAAAGAAAACUCGAUGAAGAUGCUCAAAUACGGAGGAAAAUGAGGAGGAGGAGCGGAAGCAGCUGCCACGCGCUCAGCGGCCGCGUCUGCGUCGUUACAUAUCGGCAUGUGCCAAAACUCAAUCAUAUUAAUUAACCUCUUUAAUUUAGCUCCAGUUGUUACUGUAGGCCUGUCGAUGGUUCUAAUCAAUGCUCGCAUAAUUAGCUGAAAACCGAACCAGUGCAGCUCACGCUGCCUCCAGCUGAUGGAGGUUCCCAGCGCCUCAUGCUCAACAUUAAUAUUCCUAAUCCCCAGCGUUUUCCCCACAGGACCGUGUUUUCUUGGAGGGUCGAUGAACGUCCAAUGAGGGGUAAUAGCUGGGGUUAAUUGCUCAAACAAAAAGGUCGGGUCGAUCCGUGGCGGGAGGAGAGGUUGUGGCGCCGAGGCCCUAGAACGGAGGCACAGGCCAGGUCCACACAGCCGGGACCCAACGGCCACCAUCACUGAGCUAUGAGCUCCACAUGACGCUAUGGCUCAGCUCCACCUGCUGAAGGAGGGGAGGAUUCAUGGAUGCUGCUGCUCAUCAGAGGAAACCCUCAAGGGUGAGUGCUCAACUAAACCUCCCACUCCAGGAUUCCCCUCAAGAAAUCAGGCAAGUGCACAGCAGGGGGGAGUUUGGCGCUCUGUCUUUACCACUAGUUUCUGUUAGUCUUCGUCUGCCGCCGCUGCUGAGACUCCAGUGAAGCCGGACGCUUUCCUUCAUUUUCUGCAGAAGAAAACCAACCAUGUUGAACUCAUCAUUACCUGAGGACGGGCAGCGCGGGGGUGCAGUGGGUAGCACUCGCUUCACUGCGUAGAGUUUGCAUGUUCUCCCCAUGUUCGCGUGGGUUCUUCCUCCCACGGUCCAAAAACCUGCAUUGGGUUGAUUGGUGCCUCUGAAUUUCCGUAGCUGUGAGUGUGAAUGGUUGUGUGUCUGUGUGUUGACUGCGACGGACUGGCCUCCUGUCCAGCUGUACCCUGCCUCUCGCAGACAGCUGGGAUGGGCUCCAGCACCACCUGCGACCCCGGAGCGGUAGAAAAUGGAUGGAUGGACGUUAUGGACGUUAUGAGGACGGAGCAUGUUCUUCUGGGGCAUGAAGACUAAUGUGGACAACACAAAGAGGAGCCAGCUCGUAUUGGACCACGUGUGUGACGGCUGCUUGUACUUCACGUUGUCAGAACAUCCAUCAUCACAUCCACUCAAAGGAGCUUUGACUACAGCACAUGAUUAAUGUUGGACAACGAUCCGAUCUGCCCUGUUGGAGAUAAAGAGUCUUGGUUUUGUUCCUGAUGACGGCUGCAUGUGAACAAUCACCGUGUGUAGAAAAACCCAACUGGUUCUGGAAGAUGGAGAGUUCUGAGCAGAGAUUUCUGGUCCUGGAACAAGCAUCUUAAUUAUUUACUCCUGCAUGAAUGCAGGAGAUAAGGAGCUGGAGACAGUAUGAAAAAUAAAGCAGAGGAGUGAGUUCACUGAAAGGCUACUGUCAUAACUCAACGCGUGCUGCUGCUCCGUCUGAAGCCGGCGCUCCUUUAUUCGCCUGCAGGGUCAUUUCUCAUAUGGUCAUUCUCUGCUUAUCAUGGCAGCUUCACCAUGAAAUGGUCUUCGCUAAUUGAAAGUCCAGGAAGAUGUCGAGCUGUGUGUCACCGCAGUGAGCGUUGGCUUAAUAAUCACAUGGAUGGAAAUGAAUCACAAGCAGGUGAUUUAACAGAACCUGUUGGUUGCACCCAUUUAUUGCAGGGUGGAUGGACAGAACCCGAUCCUCUCUGUCUGCAGCUGCCAGCUUCACUGAUGAACUCGCUCCCCCAGAUGUUUCCUAAUUAAUCGCUGAGGCCACGGGUUCUGGAGCUCUGCUCAGGUUCCUCAUCAAAGAGCGUCGGCAGCAGCCGAGCAGGAAGAACCUGUCGUCAGACGCUUUCUGAGGAGCGGAAGCGUUCAGCGACGGAUCUCUACCUCUUUAUACAGACGCUGUGAAAACGCUGUGAAACUUUCCUCCAACUUGCACAUUGAUCCCUAAUGAACAUGCUCCUAUUACUGCCUCAGGAACGCAGCGUGUUACCGUUGUUUGGCUGUUGACUGAUGGGAAAUGUUAAAACAGGUGCGUGAGCCUGUGAGCAAUAGAAGCUGUGCCACUCUGUGUUUUCACAUUAAGUCAGUAGAUGGAUGUAUCUGUGACAGAUUUCCACUGGGAGCAUUAAAUCUGUCUCAUGUCAUCUUCCCCUAGCUGCUUAUUGAAAAGGAGAAGCCCACGCUCCCAGGUGUGUGCUGCCACGUCCUCCUGGUGCUGCCUGUCACCACCACUGGGACUGGGGCUCAGGCACAUUUCAUUUACACAACCAACCGGCUGAGGCUGAGGCCACGGAUGAGGUCGGAGGCCACAGCUGAGGCUGAGGCCACGGCUGAGGCCACGGCUGAGGCCACGGCUGAGGCCACGGCUGAGGCCAAGGCUGAGGCCCCGGAUGAGGCCGGAGGCUGAGGCCGGAGGCUGAGGCCCCGGAUGAGGCCGGAGGCUGAGGCCGGAGGCUGAGGCCACGGCUGAGGCCACGGCUGAGGCUGAGGCCAAGGCUGAGGCUGAGGCCACGGCUGCAGCUCGGCUUCCUGAAGUCUCGACCACAGCACCUAAUAUCAGAACCGGACCCGAACCUGGGGAUGUCUGUAAACGACGUCGUCACUUGACCUUUGACCUUUGUUGUUGUAAAUGAAGCGGUUUCUUAGCAUUCAGUUAGUGAUCACGUUACGUUAGUUGUCCGACGUAGCGGAACUGUGGAUCAAACGUGUUUGUUUGCCUCAGACAAAAAGACCAAUGCUUCUAAUUAAAACCAGGAUGCUUCUCUACUCCCAGCAGCUGAAUCAUUCAGACAAACAGGUUUGUUUUCGCGUAUCUGCUGAUUCUGGCUGGAGGCAGCUUCACAAAGAGUAGCUGAGUUUUUAUCAGCAGCAGCUCAGCUGCCGCUGGUCGAUACGAGGGACCCGACCAUGAGUCCAGUCGUAAAACCUAAAUGAACCUGGUGCUUCCAGUAAACAGACAGCAGCGCUAACACGUUAGCAUUACGCACCCAUGAGCAGAAACUCAUGACUUGAAGUUAGUUGUUUCUGACGGGACAAAUAUGAUGGGAACACGUUCCCAUAGUAACAGCAGUGGGCUUGAUAUGAAAUAUGCUCUAUGUGAAAAUGAUGAAUGAUAUCAUUAGAGCCUUGUUUCUCACAAAAACAGAAUUCAGUUGAAUGAAAUGAAAAAAACAAAAAGACUCGGAACAAAGAUUUAACACUUAGACCUGGUGAGGCGUGGUUCUGGUUCAGGUCCAGAGCUUGAGCUGACGCUGGAGCGUAGCCGUAAACUUUAAGUAACCUUGGCUUUUAAACAGUGUCAGUGUAGAUCAGUGCUGCUCCCAGAACCAGAACCAGAACCAGAAUUAGGCUUGUGUUAUCUGCAGCAGUGACACAAUGCACCAUCGCUUCUGAGCCCUGAAUAUCAAGGUCAAAGAGGCUGGAGUCAUUUACCUCCCUGCAGGGGAGGAGUGAUAGUGAGGAGACGGAGACAGAAGAGGAGGUGAGGGGAGGCAACGACACCAACUCUAUCUGGCGACGCAGGAGAUCGGUGCAGCAAGAGCUUCGCUGCUGCGUCAGACGUCGCAGUGAAACAGGAUCACAACAUUCAGGUGGCGUCUCCAUCCGUCUCCUCCCGGAGCCCUCACAUGCAGAUAGUGGCUGCAGCAUCGGCGCCAGGCGUGAGCACACAUUCGUCUCUGUAAUGGUUCCUGCGCUUACGUUUAUCUGGAAAGAAGACAAACGACUGAUGUGUUUUAGCAGCUUUCCUCUAGAACUUUCUUCUUCUUCUCAGGGCUCCACGUGCACGGCUCAGUUCUCUUCCACCCUCUGCUCUUCUUCUACAGCCUCUGCGUUCACUGCGUGUUCAAAUAAAUUGAAGGAAGAGUUGAGAUGACGCUGAACUCUGCUGUCUCCAAAUGCUGUCUGUGAAGCCUCUGUAAAACUCGCUCUUCUUUCUUUAACCUCCUCCUCCUAAUUCCUGCAGCACUUGGCUCAUGCGAAUUUAAAUAUUCACCAAAAUAGAAAGUCAAGAUUAAAAGGUGAGGCUGCAAACAGGCCGCUGUGUCAGGAUCCUGGGCUGGUUCUGCCAGCCACCCUCUUGUUUUUACCCUGGACUACACCUUCUCCAUCAGCAGGCCACGCCUUUUCUCUUAGCAGGCCAAGCCUCUGCUUUGGGCCACGCCUUCUCCAUCAGCAGGCCACGCCUCUGCUUUGGACCACACCUUUUCUCUUAGCAGGCCACGCGUCUGCUUUGGACCACGCCUUCUCCAUC